GUGCAUCUUACAGUCAAUGGGAAAGACAAAAAACAAAAUGAGCAACGGGAAUGAGUACCACGUGCAGAAAUGCCAAUAGGAAGAAGUGCCGAGGAGAAAAACUAGGGCAGACAGCAAGGCAAAAGGAGUUGAAGAAGGCAUGCUGACAUUUUAAACCAAGGAGGGCCUCACUGAGGAGGCGGCAUUUCAGUAAAGGCCUGAAGGAAGCGCGGGAGUGAGGCACACAGAUGUCCCGUGAAGUGUGUUCCAAGCAGAGGUAGCGGCCAUGCAGAGGCCGGAGGCCUGGCCGCCCAAGGAGAAACCAAGGAGACUGGGGAGGCUGAGUGGAAAGACAGGCCAGAGAUGGGGGAGGUGGCAGUCGUGAGAUCAGGUGGUCCUGGAGCCCACUGCGGGGUGAGCUUUUCCUGUGAGUGAGGUGGGAGCCAAGGGAGAGUGUGGAGCAGAGGAGGGAGGAUCUCUGACUUGGCUUUAACAGACCCUCCGGCUGCUGCAGGAGAAUGGGCUGCAGCGGGAUAGAGCCGCGUACAGGAGGGAGGGUGCUCACUGGUCCAGGUGAGUAGCCUGAGGCCAGAGAGCAGUAGGAACCUGUGGCCUCCCAACCCUUGUCUUCUCCUGCAAAGAACAGAGGAUUGGGAUUCACGCCAGAAGGUACAGAAAUGGCCAACACAGACGAGAUGCCUCAAGUCUAGGUUAUGCGCAUGGAAUCACAUGGUAUCAUUCCUCAUUUCUGGAGUAAAAGGCAAGAAUACUGACAACAAGCAGUGCCGGGCAGCUGUGGGACAGGUGGAGCCCCCAUGGACCCUGCUUCUGGCGUGCAGUUUGUCAAUAUGACACUCAAAAUUCUGCGGAAGCUUUGAUCCAGUGACUUACCUCGAAUAAUUUAUCUUCAUUUUUUAAAAUUUAUUUAUUUAUUGAGACAGGGUCUCGCUCUGCCACCCAGGCUGGAGUGCAGUAGCACGAUCGCAGCUCACUGCAGCCUUGACCUCCGGACUCAAGCAAUCCUCCUGCCUCAGCAUCCCUCAAAUAGUGCAACCACAGGUGUGCACCAACACACCCAGCUACUUUUUAAAUUUUUUUGGAAAGAUGGGGUCUCACUAUGUUGCCCAGGCUGAAUUUAUCUUUAAAGGGCACGAAUAAGAUGAGUGGACAAAGAAGACCCAGUUAUGUCAUGGGGAAACCUGGAAGCCACCCCAAGAGCACAGCUUUGCAAGUGGAUGAGAGUUCCAAUCUCAGCCCAGCUGUGUGAUUCUGGGCAACUGUCCUAACCUCUCUGAACUUCAGUUUCCUCAUCUGUAAGGUGGGAAUAAUGGCAAUACCCAACCCCUCCAGGGCCGUCUGAGGAAGACAUAAGACUACAUGGGUAGAAUGCUUACCUUUAGGCACACAAGAGACAAUUUAUAUAAAGGAAAAAGUUGGUGGUCCCAUAUGAUGGAUUAUUAAACAGCUUUACAAAUAAAGAAGAGCCUCUCUGGGCCUCAGUUUCCCUCUUGAACAAAGAAAAAUUGGUCCUGGGAGCUCACUGCGUGGCUCCUCGACUCUCUGCAGCGAUCCCUCCCUUCCUGGCCCUGGCUGUGACUCCCUGGCAGCUGAGCAACUGGGUAGGAGAGGGACAUGGCUCAGUCUGUCUGUUGGGCCAUGCGUCAUUCUCAGCUUAGACCCAGCCUUGCCUGUCACAGGAGAGGGCGGGGGAGGGGAGGAGAGCCCAGAGGCCCAACUCCUCUACCCCUGGGCCCUGCCCCUCUGGCUCAGCCAGCAGGAAAGGCCAGUGGAAGGUGGGGGGCUUGUCUCACUGCCCUCUCCCCCAGGGAGGGGCAUUUGUGGCCAGAUCCAGUUUCUGGCAGGACUGGUUAGUCCAGGUGGCCUGGAUGGAUGGCCGAGAUAAGGUCUGUGCAGAUUGGCCAGGCUGGGCAGGAGACCCAAGCGGGACAAAGACAGGAUAGCCCUGGCCCAGCCUGAUUCACAGGUGGGGUUAGGAGCUGCCCCUGUCUUGUCCCAGCCUCUGUCACCAGAUUUUGGGGGCCAGGCACCCAGGUAUCCUCUAGGAACCUCCCGUCACUGCCUGCGGUGAGGUGGCACAGAAAGAGGUGAUCCUGGGGAGAGGUGUUACAGGUCCAAGGUGGCCCAGCACUUGAGGGGGUGCUGCAAGGAAGAGUUUUUACCAGCCCCUGAUGAGGCUCUAAAGCCCAGAGACAGCAUGACCUGGGGCUGCCUGGGUGUGAGGUUGUUGAGGAUUCUGGGUUGCAGGUAGGCACCGUCUUGGUUUCUCUGUCUCUGUCUGACAUUCCAGACGCUCCCAGGGCCUGGCUGGGCCAGCUUCCCUCAUGGGCUUGGUUCUCACAGACCCAGUCACAAAAACCAUGCUGCCAGCACUUAGUACAGCCUCAGGCCUAUACCACCUCCGUCCCUCAUCAGUGGGGUGCCCUCUGCCUGGUGGUUCCUGCCAGCCUCAGGCCAGGGGUUCAGAGAGCAAGUCUCUCUCAUAGGUGCUAUAGCCCCAGGGACCCAGGGCAGAGCACAACUCAGCCUCCCAGGCUGCCAGCAAUUCACUUACUAUACUGAACAUUCUGUUUCCUCCUCCACGACCACAGCCAUCCCUCUCCAUGCCCUGUGUGCUCUGCUGCCACGGUCCCCUUGCCCUUGCCUCUGGUCUGGUUCACCAAUGGGGACACCAGCUGAAGACUGGAAGGGUGGAAGGAGAGAGUGGCCAGAACUACUCAUCCAGCAUCUCCUGGGUUGAGGCUGGCCAUGUCCUGACUAAGAGCCACAGUCCCCACUGUGGUGGGAGGGUGGCCCUCUCCUGGGCUGCAGCUUGGGAGAGCUCCAGUAACAGCCCUGCUCCCACUCCCUAGAGGCAGGAAUGGUGGCUUCCUGCUCUCUGUACUGUCACCAUCCCUUAAGCAGCAUCUGUAAGUGGCCAGCUCAUUAAGCCCUUUCCCCUAGUUUGCAGACUACGUCUCCUGCCAGGAUCGGAUCAGUAAACCUCAGGACUCUCACAGCCCUACAGGGCAGCUGGAGCCAUCCCAUUUACAGAUGAAGAAACUGACUCAGAAUCAAAAACAACAAAUCCGGAGCCAUCACAUUACUCAACUUCAAACUAUACUAUAAGGUCAUAGUCACCAAAGCAGCAUGGUACUGGUAUAAAAAUAGUCACAUAGACCAAUGGAACAGAAUAGAGAACCCAGAAAUAAAGCCAAAUACUUACAGCCAACUGAUCUUUGACAAAACAAACAAAAACAUAAAGUGGAGAAAGGAAACCCUAUUCAAUAAAUGGUGCUGGGAUAAUUGGCAAGCCACAUGUAGAAUGAAACUGGAUCCUCAUCUCUCACCUUAUACAAAAAUCAACUCAAGAUGGCUCAAAUACUUAAAUCUAAGACCUGAAACCAUAAAGAUUCCAGAAGAUAACAUCGGAAAAACCCUUCUAGACAUUGGCUUAGGCAAAGCCUUCAUGACCAAGAACCCAAAAGCAAAUGCAACAAAAACAAAGAUAAAUAGAUGGGACCUAAUUAAACUGAAAAGCUUCUGCACAGCAAAAGAAAUAAUCAGGCUGGGCGCAGUGGCUCACGCCUGUAAUCCCAACAUUUUGGGAGGCUGAGGUGGGCGGAUCACGAGGUCAGGCGAUCGAGACCAUCCUGGCUAACAUGGUGAAACCCUGUCUCUACUGAAAAAUACAACAAAAAUUAGACAGGCGUGGUGGUGUGCACCUGUAGUCCCAGCUACUCAGGAGGCUGGGGCAGGAGAAUGGCAUGAACCCAGGAGGCAGAGCUUGUAGUGAGCCUAGAUCGCGCCACUGCACUCCAGCCUGGGCGACAGAGCGAGACUCCGUCUCAAAAAAACAAAAAAGAAAUAAUCAGCAGAGUCUGUUAAGACAACUAUAAAGUAGGAGAAAAUCUUUACAAUCUGUAUCUCUGACAAAGGACUAACAUCCAUAAUCUACAAAGAACUCAAACAAAUCAGCAAGAAAAAACAAACAAUCCCAUCAAAAACUGGGCUAAGGACAUGAAUGGAACUAAAAGUAAAUCUACCAUUUGAUCCAGCAAUCCCACUCCUAGGUAUCUACACAGAGGAAAAGAAGUCAUUAUACAAAAAAUAUACGUGCACACACAUGUUUAUAACAGCACAAUUUGUAAUUGCAAAAAUAUGGAACCAAUCUAAAUGCCCAUCAAUCAACAAGUGGAUAAAGAAAAUGUGGUGUAUAUAUACCAUGGACUACUACUCAGCCAUAAAAAGUAACAAAAUAAUGACAUUCGCAGCAACCUGGGUGGAAUUGGAGACCAUUAUUCUAAGUGAAGCAACUCAGCAAUGGAAAACCAAACAUCGUAUGUUCUCACUCAUGUGUGGGUGCUAAGCUAUGAGGACGCAAAGGCAUAAGAAUGAUCCAUUCAUUGGACUUUGGUGACUCAGGGGAAAGGGUGGGUGGUGAGGGAUAAAAGAUUACACUUUGGGUACAGUGUACACCACUCAGGUGAUAGGCGCACCAAAAUCCCAAAAUCUCAGAAAUCACUGCUAAAGAACUUGUUAAUGUAACCACUUGUUCCCCCAAACCCUAUUGAAAUAAAACAAGCACCACUUGUUCCCCCAAAAACUUAUUGAAAUAAAAAAAUUUAAAAAUAAAACAAAAAAAGAAAAAGAAAAGAAAAGAAAGGAACUGAAGCUCACAGAGAACUCGCUUCCCCACGGGGCCUUCCUUUAUGGGACCCAAGAGCUGAACCACAAAUGACCUCCCCCA
rnacentral:lncRNA from 1 species